UACGUAGGCAGCGAGCGUUGUUCGGAGUUACUGGGCGUAAAGAGUGCGUAGGCGGUUUUCUAAGUUUGGUGUGAAAUCCCCCGGCUUAACCUGGGAACUGCGUCCGAUACUGGAUGGCUUGAAUCCGGGAGAGGGAUGCAGAAUUCCAGGUGUAGCGGUGAAAUGCGUAGAUAUCAGGAGGAACACCGGUGGUGUAGACGGCUCACUGGACCGUAACUGACGCUGAGACACGAAAGCGUGGGUAGCAAACAGG
rnacentral:rRNA from 1 species